AUUACAGGAGGAAAUCUCUUCACUGCUGGCACUGACAAUGGAAGACUGAGGGUGCCCGGGAUCCUUCACCCCCACAUCCAGUGAGUCCACGGAACCCAGGGUAACUGGGAUGGUAUCUGGACAAAAUUUGGGGCAUAUUUGUUUCUCUCGACCUGAUUUCUGCAGAAUUUGGAAACUAUUUGAAUCAAACUUGACUUAUGGAGCCAAUAAAGCCCUUGGAGAAGCUGGCGUCAUAUUUUAUAUACACAGUCCCUGUACAGGGUUUCUGACCUGUGCACUGAAAGCUAAGCUGUGCUUUCAGAAAUCCCUGAGAACUGAAGCUAGACAACUUAAUCUUCAGAAGAAAAUAACAGCAACCUAUUUAUGUACAUAAGCCACUUUCAUACCUGCCUACUGAUAUAUGGACUUCAGAGUAUUGUGGACUAUAUUGAUUUUCCAGAAUUGUUCUUUUGUUUGUUAUUACUUUUCUCCCUUUCUCCCCCUGUUUUUUUUUUCACAACAAAUUGCUUUUAUUUUGGUAUGCAUCCACAUUUCAGCAUUUAGUGGUCCUGAACAGAAAGUGGAAAGACACAGCAAUUCAAUCCCCCCAAUUUUGGGGAUCUGCUGUGCACACUAGGUUCUUUCUUAAUCCCUGCUGAGGAACUUGAGAAGCAGCAGCAGCACCAAAACCAAGGCAUGCACCGGAUUCAAGGUUCUUUUUGUUCCAGUUGUCAGAUUCCAAACUAGACCCCAAUGUAUUGCAAGUAUGACCAAAUAAAAGCCCUGUUUAAAACUUCUUCUUUUUCUUUUCUUUUUUUUUUUUUUGAGACAGAGUUUCACUCUUGUUGCCUAGGCUGGAGUGCAAUGGCACGAUCUCAGCUCACUGCAACCUCUGCCACCUGGGUUCAAGCAAUUCUCCUGCCUUAGCCUCCCAGGUAGUGGGAUUACAAGCAUGUGCCGCCACACCCAGCUAAUUUUGUAUUUUUAGUACAGAUGGGGUGUCACCAUGUUGGUCAGGCUGGUCUCGAACUCCUCACCUCAGGUGAUCCACCUGCC
rnacentral:lncRNA from 1 species